AGAGUUUGAUCCUGGCUCAGGACGAACGCUGGCGGCGCGCCUAAAACAUGCAAGUCGAACGAGAAGCCCGGGCUUGCCCGGGUGGACAGUGGCGAACGGGUGAGUAACACGUGAGGAACCUGCCCCGAAGACCGGGACAACAUCGGGAAACCGUUGCUAAUACCGGAUGCCCUCGAAGAAUCGCAUGGUUCAUCGAGGAAAUGGAUUCCGCUUCGGGAUGGCCUCGCGGCCUAUCAGCUUGUUGGUGAGGUAACGGCUCACCAAGGCUUCGACGGGUAGCUGGUCUGAGAGGAUGUCCAGCCACACUGGGACUGAGACACGGCCCAGACUCCUACGGGAGGCAGCAGUUAGGAAUCUUGCGCAAUGGACGAAAGUCUGACGCAGCGACGCCGCGUGCGGGAUGAAGGCCCUCGGGUUGUAAACCGCUUUCAGCAGGGACGAAAUUGACGGUACCUGCAGAAGAAGCCCCGGCCAACUACGUGCCAGCAGCCGCGGUAAUACGUAGGGGGCUAGCGUUGUCCGGAUUUAUUGGGCGUAAAGAGCUCGUAGGUGGUUCGGUAAGUCGGAUGUGAAAUCUCCAGGCUCAACCUGGAGGGGUCAUUCGAUACUGCCGUGACUAGAGUUCGGUAGAGGAGUGUGGAAUUCCUGGUGGAGCGGUGAAAUGCGCAGAGAUCAGGAGGAACACCCGUAGCGAAGGCGGCACUCUGGGCCGAUACUGACACUGAGGAGCGAAAGCGUGGGGAGCGAACAGGAUUAGAUACCCUGGUAGUCCACGCCGUAAACGUUGGGCACUAGGUGUGGGGUUCUAUCGACGGAUUCCGUGCCGUAGCUAACGCAUUAAGUGCCCCGCCUGGGGAGUACGGCCGCAAGGCUAAAACUCAAAGGAAUUGACGG
rnacentral:rRNA from 1 species